CCUACGGGUGGCAGCAGUGAGGAAUAUUGGUCAAUGGGCUUACGCCUGAACCAGCCAAGUCGCGUGAGGGAAGACUGCCCUAUGGGUUGUAAACCUCUUUUGUCAGGGAGCAAUUGGCGCUACGUGUAGCGUUACUGAGAGUACCUGAAGAAAAAGCAUCGGCUAACUCCGUGCCAGCAGCCGCGGUAAUACGGAGGAUGCGAGCUUUAUCCGGAUUUACUGGGUUUAAAGGGUACGAAGGCGGAAUGUCAAGUCAGCGGUAAAAUCGGGGGGCUAAACCUGGGAACGCCGUUGAAACGGGCGUGCUGGAGUGGACGAGGGGCAGGCGGAAUGCGUGGUGUAGCGGUGAAAUGCGUAGAUAUCAGGAAGAACACCGAUGGCGAAGGUGGCAUGCCGGCGCGCAACUGACGUUGAGGCCCGAAAGCGUGGGGAGCAAACAGGAUUAGAUACCCGUGUAGUC
rnacentral:rRNA from 1 species